GACUUGAAAAUUCAGAAAUUUUGAACAGGAGAAAAGGAAUCGAAUCUCAUAUUAAAAAAAAAGCACAAGAAUUUGUAUGUGGUGAUAGCGUAAAUAUAUUUUUUUUUUUUUAGCAAAGUGUAAAAUAAUUUGUUACACAUUUUGUUAAAUUACUUUAUAGUGUGCUGGUUCUUAAAAUUGGGGUCGCGCAACCGCGUUAAUGCCUCGGUGCAUUACAAAGGUUGAACCACACGUGUAUCAAUACUAGGACUGGUUUUGGUGGAUCGAUUUCAGUUUACAGAUGGCAUACGCGUGCCAAUGGCCGUGUGUGUCGGAGACUACACCCUCUACAGCUUUGGUAACUUCUGCAAAAACGAUGCAACCUACUAUAACACCAUUAUCUUUCCCAGCAGCUCUUGCGGGGACUAAUGUUACGGAUGACAUGCCUUUCCCUUCUCCUUGCAUCAAAGGUGAUGCUUUAAGCAUCAAAAUCUGUCAAGAUGAAUACCAUAAGGGACUCGAAGAUUGUCGAAAAGUGUUAAGGGCUCGAUUGACUCUUAACGAAGGGGACAAACCUUACUCUGCACAUGUUCUCAGUAUUAAAAUUGGAAAAAUUUGGAAGACAACGGCAAGCUGGAAAAUGGUGCUUCUUGGUAAGUGGUAUUAUGACUUUCACUUUGACUCGGCGGAGGACUUCAAAAAAAAUAUGGGCAGUAGGGACGGUAAAUCUUAAGCCUGGUUUGUUGAGAUUUUCACAAUGGACCAAAGACUUUAAAUUUCAGACGCAGAAACAGACUCAUGUAUCACUUUGGAUACGUUUGGUAGAACUACCGCAAGAAUAUUGGCGGGAGACUUGAAGGAAAUUGCAAGUGCGGUUGGAAACACCUAUUGAUAUUGAUGGACUAACUAAAAAUCGUAUUUUUGGUCAUUAUGCUUGCAUUUUGGUGGACAUUGAUUUAUCGAAGAAAGCAUAUGAUGAGAUUCUUGUUGAAUGCGAUGGUUUUGCGUUAAUGGUGGAAAUCCAAUAUGGGGGGGACCUCUGUUUUGCCAUCAUUGUUAGUCCAUUGGUCAUAAUAGCAAUACUUGCAAAUGGUUAAAUCCGCAAGCCGCCAAGGAUAAAGAGAAUCGAGGGAAACAACAUGUUAAAGAUAAUGUGGCUGCGCCCCCUAAGGCACCACAAAGCAAGGAUAUGGGUCCUUCUACCUCGGCCAUUGGAGGUAAAGGACGUGGGUUCCGUCUGUUAGUUCUACAAUUACUACCACUACCAGGAUGACGGUCCCAGUUACUCAGACAACACAGGCUACACCAAUUCCGGUCAACACACAUACUCAAUCAAUUCCGGUUCGUGCAGUACCGGUAUCAGACAUAUCAUCAAACUCGUUCAGUUUUUUAAGUCUAACAAGCCGAUUUUCCUUUAUUUCACCUUCUCUACCCCACCUCCUCCCACGUUGAGAUCAGCUAAGAUAUCAGAAAUGGAUUGAAAUUUACGAAGAGAUAGCUCGCCAGUCUCUCAGCAAUAAUUUGUUGAAGUAUGGAGUUGAAGGAUAUCUUCUUAAUGCGGGGAUUUGCCAACUUUGUAAAGGGGAUGUUGUUGCAAUUACCAAUGCAUUAGUGCGAUAUCAGGAACUGGAUCCAACAUUUUCCGGAACACGUGAAUAUAGACUUCUGGCGGUAUAUUGCUUAUAGUGAAAUUUCAUCAUUAACUUUUCAUGACUUAGUAAAUUAUACUAGGACAUUAGAAGAAAGAUUCUUUUUCAAUAUAAGCGAUUAUUGAUUCUGUACUCAGUUAUUCACCAACUGAAUUGAUGAAGAAGAUGUUGGAAAGUUUACUCAAGUUGUCAAGGAGUUUGAUAGCAUGUCUCUUUUGGUAAGCUCUA